rnacentral:rRNA from 1 species
UACGGGGGGGGCAAGCGUUGUUCGGAAUUACUGGGCGUAAAGGGCGCGUAGGCGGCCCGCUAAGUCGAACGUGAAAUCCCCGGGCUCAACCCGGGAACUGCGUCCGAUACUGGCGGGCUUGAAUCCGGGAGAGGGAUGCGGAAUUCCAGGUGUAGCGGUGAAAUGCGUAGAUAUCAGGAGGAACACCGGUGGCGAAGGCGGGUCUCUGGGCAGUAACUGACGCUGAGGAGCGAAAGCGUGGGGAGCAAACGGG